rnacentral:rRNA from 1 species
CGCGUUGGGAGCUCUCCCAUAUGGUCGACCUGCAGGCGGCCGCGAAUUCACUAGUGAUUAGAGUUUGAUCAUGGCUCAGAACGAACGCUGGCGGCAUGCCUAACACAUGCAAGUCGAACGAACCCUUCGGGGUUAGUGGCGCACGGGUGCGUAACGCGUGGGAAUCUGCCCUUGGCUUCGGAAUAACAGUUAGAAAUGACUGCUAAUACCGGAUGAUGUCUUCGGACCAAAGAUUUAUCGCCCAAGGAUGAGCCCGCGUCGGAUUAGCUAGUUGGUGAGGUAAAGGCUCACCAAGGCGACGAUCCGUAGCUGGUCUGAGAGGAUGAUCAGCCACACUGGGACUGAGACACGGCCCAGACUCCUACGGGAGGCAGCAGUGGGGAAUAUUGGACAAUGGGCGAAAGCCUGAUCCAGCAAUGCCGCGUGAGUGAUGAAGGCCUUAGGGUUGUAAAGCUCUUUUACCCGGGAUGAUAAUGACAGUACCGGGAGAAUAAGCCCCGGCUAACUCCGUGCCAGCAGCCGCGGUAAUACGAAUCGAAUUCCCGCGGCCGCCAUGGCGGCCGGGAGCAUG